UAAAAUUCUUUCCGAAAAGGUCAACCGGCGACCUUUUGAUUAAGCUUCCGAGGACAAUUCUUGAGCGAAGACGAACAACAAGCCAGCGGCGAUUAUGGUUUAAAUAAAUUAAACCAACAAUCAACGGCUAACAAUGGGCUUUAGAUUACCCGGGGAAAUCCGGUUACCCGUAUAUGUUCAAACAAAGAUUUUUCAAAAGCUGAACUGGAUUCUCUGGAAUUGGAAGAAGUUGACGAAAAUUAUUAUUCACUGGAGUUGUAUUGGCCAACCUGAACUCAGUCCCGUGCGUCAUGAAACCGAAUGCAACUAUGGACACGAUGGAAGUGAAACAAUAACUAUGGAUGGUUGACUAAUAAGUACAAUCUUAAAUAAUCAACUCUCCGGAUACUAUGAUGA